AAUGAAGGUCCAAUGAAGAAGUUGAUCUAUGGGGAAAUCAAUAUGCUGGGGCCUCCAUUGCUGAGAUUAACUCUACUGCUCAAACCUGGUUCAAAUGUUGCAACUAGUCAGAGGAAAAAAGAAAGCAAAGCAAAAAAGGAUGCAGAGGAAAGAAAGGAACAUCUCCUUCUAGCAUUAUUUUGCUUGAAAGAAAUGAUAACAGUCAGUCUAUGUGGUUCUUGUUUGACUCACUUGCUUGAGAAUCUCUUGUCAGUUCCUGAACUUGAGAAUGCUGAUUUGCAUGAUGAAUGUGAUCAAGCCUCUGAAAUUGAUGACCAAGAUAUAAAAAACAAAGAGCUAUUCAUUCAGAAAUAUUUGAAGCCGCUGCUCACUGAUCUUAUGAAACUAUCAGCUUUUCGGACGGUUGAGGUAUAUGAUUAUUUCCUUCGGUUUAACUACUGCUACUUUCAGAAACAAAAUCAGUCCAAGUGUAAUUCUUUGUUUUUCAGAUUCUUUGUGAUAUCCUGUUGAUGAUUGGUCACAAAUUGCCCUGCAAAUGGAGGAACUCUCAUGGAGCUUGGGCUAUUCGUAUGUGCAAAACCAACAACACAACAAAUUCCAGUAUUGCAAAAAGCAUGGUUAGACUAGCCACUAGUUUGAGCUCACCACCAACAGAUUUGCUUGUGGCUCAAGAAAUGUUAAAGGAGCUCUUAAAGUUUAUAGGACCAAACAACAGUGACUUAUCGCAAGUCUCGGAAUACCUUGUUGUAAACCAGUCAACAACCAUUGCUAUAGCUUCUUGUCUUCUUCAAAUAACAGACAAUGUCAUUAUCGACGUGGAUUGGUCAACUAAAAAGCUAAAGGCAGCUUCACAAGUUGCUCAAAAGACCAUUCAUCAUGACCAGAAUGGAGAGCAUAAUUUGGGUUUCACAUUUGAGGAAAUUGUAUAUUCGAGGAUUAAAGCCGUUGUUGAAGUAUUAUCUUCCUUUGUUUUGAUGAGCCUUAAGGGUAAGCAAGAACUUUGCAAUUAAGAUCAAAAUCUCUAACUUUUCUAUCAUUCUUUUAAACUGAAUUUAUGAUAUUAUACAAUACAGAUAAUCAAGCUGAGCAUUUUCUUAGAUUAACCGCAAGAUUUUACAAGAAUUUAGCUCUGAUUUCAAAGCUCAAGAUUGCCCCUAAAGGUCAGAAGCAGCUUUUACCAAGCCUUCAAUUCCAGAAGCUUGUCGAAUUAACUUGCAAGGAGCUCACCGUUCCGCUUUAUAACUUUGUGGCAGAGAUGCAACAAGUACAGACCUUAAUCCUGUUGGCAUUUUGUUGUUGCUUAUAGGGGUGUAAAAGCGAGCCGUCUAUGCUCACAAGCUACUUGAGUUAUUGGGCGAGCCAAAUUCAAGUAUUUUAAUGCUUGAUCUUUUUCUGUUUUGAAUUAGUAUUGAAAAUGUUGAUCGAGUUCACACUCAAAGUUGAGCUCAAGCACAAACAACUGAGCUUGAUGUUGAGUAUGCCACUCGAGCUCAUGUUUUACUAGGUAAAUAAGCCUAAUCAAGCAAGCUCAGGUAUUUUGCUUUUCAUCUUCAAUUGAGUCAGUUUUAAAAGUGAGACCUGAUCGAGCUAGAGUUGAGCUAGAGAUUAAGAUUCUUACUACUUAAGCUCAGUUUUGCUCAUUACCCCUAGUCCUUUACUCACUUUCGUUUUAGAAUUUUUUUAGGUAAAUGAGUUUAAUUAAGCAAGCUCAAGCAAUUUGAUUUUCAUCUUGAAUGAAGUUGGUUGAACUAAAGCCAGUCAGGUCUAGAUUGGGAUUCUUACAGUUCGAGCUUGGCUUGACUUUUUACACCCUUAGUCCUUUAUUCAAUUUUAUUUUGGAUUUUUGCUUGAGCAACUGCAUUUUUCUGAUAUAAAAAUGAGUUGCAGGCUCAACAAGAAAACUCUAACAGCAAAGGAAUGAUAAACAAGAUCAAAAGGGAGAAUAAAUGCAUCCCAGAGCUGAUAUUCCAGAUUGAAGAUUAUGAAAAACAUCUGAUUCGACUCAGCAAAGCAACCAAGAUGAACUUAUUGAAGCACGCUAAACGCAGCACUUGUCGAGACUUCAAAAUCUUGGACCCAACAACAGCUGUUGUCGGACAAGCUGUUCCCAACAAUGUUGGAAAUGAUAAUGACAAUGAAAAUGAAAAUGAAAAUGGAAGGUGCAGUGACUCUGAAGAUGGAAACAAUGAUGGCAAUGGAUCAGAUAAAGAGUUGUCACAUGAAGUGGAGUCUGAAUCUGAUGCCGUCGAAGAUGAUAGAGCUAGUGUUCCAACUGUUAAGGGGGUGAAAAGGUCUAGAAUUGUUCAUGAUUCCGACGAUGAUAGUUGAUGCAAGGAUUGUCAGACUGCACUAGGUAAUGGUUCUUGUAGAAACAUAAAUAUAAAUUUGUUAAGAAAAUUAGUAAAAAACUCACUAUAUAUGCGUAUUGUUGCUUACAAACGACAACUUCAGUAAUAUACGAAGUAUCCUUUUAAGUCCUCUGUUUCAAUUAUUGUUAUGCAAAUGACCCGUAUGGUGAAGAGUAAGGAAUGGCCUAACAAGGAUGCAGGCACAAACUAGGGCGCAAAGCCCAACAAUGAAGGCCCUUGGAAGAAUGCUCGUGAGAAAGACGAAAGGCUGAUGGCUAAAGAAGAUAAGGGAAGCUGAACUGUGAGUUGAGUUGGAAUGCGACUGAUAGAUAUACAUAAUUUUUAUUAGUAAUGUAUUGUUUCUUACAGCUGUCCAGAUGUCCUAUGGUUAGUUACAUGAGCUAAGCAAAUAUAUUGAAGAAUGUAAUACAUUUUUAAUCUAUCUAUGAAAGGAAAUUCAGCCUUCUUUUGAAAUCUCCCAUUCUUAUUCAAGCUUGAAUCCAUUAUUUGGAUUCAUAACAAAUUGGUAUCAGAGAUCCAUCAAUCCAUACCGACCAGGGUAAAAGCAAAAGGAAGAUGAUCAUGACAAAGGAUAUUGGAUUGCAUCAACUGCAGGAACAAGUCACAACCAUUCAGAAACAGCUUGAAUCUAUGCAGGCACAUGAAGCAACAGUUCAAAAAAUGUGUGAGGACCAGCAAAGAAGUAUUGAUGCUAGAUUCCAAGAGACCCAAACUUGUAUAGAGAAAGUGAUGCGUAAGGAUAAAAAACCCCAAUCUCUUGCAGUAACUUCUGAUGAAAACACUCCCAACCCUACUACCAUUCCUUUCCAAAGGAGGGAUGGUAAACAUCCAAUAGAAGUCAUUGUGAUUGAUGAUCAAAAGAGAUUUACCUUCAAGCCACAACAAUCAGGGUUGCUGCCAAAGAAGAUACUUGACAGUUGUUACACUCCCCAACAAGGUAACACUUUUUUCAGAAUGAAGGGGAGACCUCUGACUCAACAAAUGGAUUCUCUACCUUUACUCCAAGGCUAAAAAUUGAACAGCAAAUGUUUGAAGAAGUUAAUCCUAGGCGUUGGAUAAAAAAAUGUCAAAAAUACUUUGUAAUAUUCUCCAUUGCUGACCAUCAAAAACUAGAAAUUGUUACAAUGUACCUCUCUAGAAAGGCAGAGGUUUAGUUUGAUGGUUACAUAUGCAAAAGAACUUUGUUACUUGGAAUGAAUUUUCCCAAGAUUUAUAUUUGAGAUUUUCUAAUAGAACUUACUCUGAUAUAGUUGAGGAAUUCAAUAAAUUAACUCAGAAAUCUUUUGUAGACGAUUACCAGUAACAGUUUGAAGAACUACACCCUUACAUGCUACAAUAUAACCUACAUCUUCUGGAAAGCUACUUUGUCCCUAGUUUUGUUAGUGGGCUUAAAGAUGACCUUAAGCCAAGAGUUAAAGCCAAUGAACCUACUACUCUAGCCUCAACUUACAGACAAGCCAAACUUUAUGAACUUCCCCUGGAAAUUGAACACAAAAAACAAAACAACAAUACUGAAGAAAUACCUAUACAAGCCAAAACCAGUUACCAGUCAAUCCAUACACCAACCAAAACAUCAAUCAAAGUAAACGACGUAUUCCUAACAACAAUGCCAAUGCCCAAACUAAAGCUUUUUUCCCUAACAACCAACCAUCAAAUAGAACCAAUCUCAUGGAACAAAGGAGGCAAAACAAUCUAUGUUUCAGAUGUCGGGAGAGAUUUACCCCAGGGCACCAAUGUAAGACCAAGUAGCUUAACUUCAUAGCAAUUGAAGAGCCAAAUUCAGAGCUAGUAGAUACUAUUGUGACCAGUGAAGAAAUUGAACCUGUGGAGGUACUGGAAGAAGAAGAAGAAGAAGAAGAGGAACAACAACAAAAAAAGGUUAGAGACCUUUAUGAAUGCACUUACUGGCAAUACUAGUUAUCAUGCACUCAGAAUCAAAGGAAGUAUCAAAGUCAAGUUCCUUAUUGUACAGAUUGAUAGUGGGAGCAAUUACAAUUUUAUGACUCCUUAAUGGGUAAAAGGAAGUGGAGAAUUAGUUCAAACCCCUCCUUUGGAAAUGACUGCAGCCAAUGGAGAAAAAUUAUACAGUACUGAGCAAUGUAACAACCUUCAUUGGAGGAUACAAGGAUAUGUUUUUUAAGACAAUUUGAAGGUACUUCCUAUGGGGGUUACAAACAUGGCCCUAGGGGUGGAUUGGAUGAAGGGUUUCAGUCCCUUAAUUUUUUGACUUCAAGGCCAGGAUACUUACUUUCAACCAGGGUGAUCAGCAAGUAGUAUCGAAGGCGAAUCUAUAGAGGAUAAAGUGAAGUUCCUCAAGGAAUCAAGGCCCCAAAAGUUGAUAGGAAAAGAGCUAGAGGUAGACACACGACAAGAUGGAAUUCCAUUAAAAAUUUAACAAUUGCUAACGGACUAUGAUGAUGUGUUUCAAGAACCUUAAGCACUACCUAAAAAAAGAUUCCAUGACCAUGCUAUUCCUCUAAAACCAGGGUACAAG
rnacentral:lncRNA from 1 species